AUCUCUUCUCUGUUUAUUAGCUAAAAUCAAACGUAGUAUCUGUCCUACCAAUUAAAGCACCUGACAUAUUCUUUAUCUGUGUAUUAGGCAUUAAUGUUUGGAGUUAGGAGAUGAAUUGGUAGCUUAAUUAAUCGGCUCCACCCUCAGCUUGGAACUGCAUUACUUCCAGGAACGGUGCCUUCCUU
ensembl:snRNA U2 U2 spliceosomal RNA